GAUGAACGCUGGCGGCGUGCCUAAUACAUGCAAGUCGAGCGAACGGACGAGAAGCUUGCUUCUCUGAUGUUAGCGGCGGACGGGUGAGUAACACGUGGAUAACCUACCUAUAAGACUGGGAUAACUUCGGGAAACCGGAGCUAAUACCGGAUAAUAUUUUGAACCGCAUGGUUCAAAAGUGAAAGACGGUCUUGCUGUCACUUAUAGAUGGAUCCGCGCUGCAUUAGCUAGUUGGUAAGGUAACGGCUUACCAAGGCAACGAUGCAUAGCCGACCUGAGAGGGUGAUCGGCCACACUGGAACUGAGACACGGUCCUGACUCCUACGGGAGGCAGCAGUAGGGAAUCUUCCGCAAUGGGCGAAAGCCUGACGGAGCAACGCCGCGUGAGUGAUGAAGGUCUUCGGAUCGUAAAACUCUGUUAUUGGGGAAGAACAUAUGUGUAAGUAACUGUGCACAUCUUGACGGUACCUAAUCAGAAAGCCACGGCUAACUACGU
rnacentral:rRNA from 1 species